UACGGAGGGUGCAAGCGUUACUCGGAAUCACUGGGCGUAAAGCGCGCGCAGGCGGCUUGAUAAGUUGGAUGUGAAAGCCUACGGCUCAACCGUAGAACUGCAUCCAAAACUGUCAAGCUAGAGUCUGGGAGGGGAAGAUGGAAUUAGUUGUGUAGGGGUAAAAUCCGUAGAGAUAACUAGGAAUACCAAAAGCGAAGGCAAUCUUCUGGAACACUACUGACGCUGAGGCGCGAAAGCGUGGUUAGCAAACGGGAUUAGAAACCCUAGUAGUCC
rnacentral:rRNA from 1 species